rnacentral:tRNA from 2 species
GCGGAAGUACCCAAGUGGCCGAAGGGGCUCCCCUGCUAAGGGAGUAGGCGUCUAAACCACGCGCAAGGGUUCAAAUCCCUUCUUCCGCGCCA